rnacentral:rRNA from 1 species
AUACGUAGGUGGCAAGCGUUGUCCGGAUUUACUGGGCGUAAAGAGUAUGUAGGCGGACAUUUAAGUCAGAUGUGAAAUUCCCGGGCUUAACCUGGGAGCUGCAUUUGAUACUGGGUGUCUAGAGUGCAGGAGAGGAAAGUGGAAUUCCUAGUGUAGCGGUGAAAUGCGUAGAGAUUAGGAAGAACACCAGUGGCGAAGGCGACUUUCUGGACUGUAACUGACACUGAGGCACGAAAGCGUGGGGAGC